GAUGAACGCUGACGGAAUGCUUAACACAUGCAAGUCAACUGUGGCGGACGGGUGAGUAACGCGUAAAGAACUGACCUCACAGCUAGGGACAACAUUUGGAAACGAAUGCUAAUACCUGAUACUGUGAGGGAGCUUUGCGUCACAUUAGCUAGUUGGCGAGGUAACGGCUCACCAAGGCGAUGAUGGGUAGCCGGCCUGAGAGGGUGAUCGGCCACAAGGGGACGGAGACGCCGGCCUUACGCCAAAGGGAAGCAGCAGUGGGGAAUAGUGGACAAUGGACCAAAGUAUGAUGAAGCAAUUCUGUUUGCAAGAUGCAGUUUUCGGAAUGUAAAGUGCUUGCAGUUGGGAAGCGGUACCAACAGAAGAAGCGACGGCUAACUACGUGCCAGCAGCCGCGGUAAUAC
rnacentral:rRNA from 1 species